rnacentral:rRNA from 1 species
CCCGCACAAGCGGUGGAGCAUGUGGUUUAAUUCGACGCAACGCGAAGAACCUUACCAGGGCUUGACAUCCCCUGACCGCGUAUGAAAGUACGUUUUCACCCUCGGGUGACAGGGAGACAGGUGGUGCAUGGUUGUCGUCAGCUCGUGUCGUGAGAUGUUGGGUUAAGUCCCGCAACGAGCGCAACCCCUACGUUUAGUUGCUAACAGGUGAAGCUGAGCACUCUAGACGAACUGCCGUUGACAAAACGGAGGAAGUGGGGAUGACGUCAAAUCAUCAUGCCCCUUAUGUUCUGGGCUACACACGUGCUACAAUGGCCGGUACAGACGGAGGCGAAGCCGCGAGGCGGAGCAAAUCCGAAAAAGCCGGUCUCAGUUCGGAUUGCAGGCUGCAAUUCGCCUGCAUGAAGUCGGAAUCGCUAGUAAUCGCAGGUCAGCAUACUGCGGUGAAUACGUUCCCGGGCCUU